AUUGAACGCUGGCGGCAUGCCUUACACAUGCAAGUCGAACGGCAGCAUGAUCUAGCUUGCUAGAUUGAUGGCGAGUGGCGAACGGGUGAGUAAUACAUCGGAACGUGCCCUGUAGUGGGGGAUAACUAGUCGAAAGAUUAGCUAAUACCGCAUACGACCUGAGGGUGAAAGUGGGGGACCGCAAGGCCUCAUGCUAUAGGAGCGGCCGAUGUCUGAUUAGCUAGUUGGUGGGGUAAAGGCCCACCAAGGCGACGAUCAGUAGCUGGUCUGAGAGGACGAUCAGCCACACUGGGACUGAGACACGGCCCAGACUCCUACGGGAGGCAGCAGUGGGGAAUUUUGGACAAUGGGCGAAAGCCUGAUCCAGCAAUGCCGCGUGUGUGAAGAAGGCCUUCGGGUUGUAAAGCACUUUUGUCCGGAAAGAAAUGGCUCUGGUUAAUACCUGGGGUCGAUGACGGUACCGGAAGAAUAAGGACCGGCUAACUACGUGCCAGCAGCCGCGGUAAUACGUAGGGUCCAAGCGUUAAUCGGAAUUACUGGGCGUAAAGCGUGCGCAGGCGGUUGUGCAAGACCGAUGUGAAAUCCCCGAGCUUAACUUGGGAAUUGCAUUGGUGACUGCACGGCUAGAGUGUGUCAGAGGGGGGUAGAAUUCCACGUGUAGCAGUGAAAUGCGUAGAGAUGUGGAGGAAUACCGAUGGCGAAGGCAGCCCCCUGGGAUAACACUGACGCUCAUGCACGAAAGCGUGGGGAGCAAACAGGAUUAGAUACCCUGGUAGUCCACGCCCUAAACGAUGUCAACUAGUUGUUGGGGAUUCAUUUCCUUAGUAACGUAGCUAACGCGUGAAGUUGACCGCCUGGGGAGUACGGUCGCAAGAUUAAAACUCAAAGGAAUUGACGGGGACCCGCACAAGCGGUGGAUGAUGUGGAUUAAUUCGAUGCAACGCGAAAAACCUUACCUACCCUUGACAUGCCACUAACGAAGCAGAGAUGCAUUAGGUGCUCGAAAGAGAAAGUGGACACAGGUGCUGCAUGGCUAUCGUCAGCUCGUGUCGUGAGAUGUUGGGUUAAGUCCCGCAACGAGCGCAACCCUUGUCUCUAGUUGCUACGAAAGGGCACUCUAGAGAGACUGCCGGUGACAAACCGGAGGAAGAUGGGGAUGACGUCAAGUCCUCAUGGCCCUUAUGGGUAGGGCUUCACACGUCAUACAAUGGUGCAUACAGAGGGUUGCCAAGCCGCGAGGUGGAGCUAAUCCCAGAAAAUGCAUCGUAGUCCGGAUCGUAGUCUGCAACUCGACUACGUGAAGCUGGAAUCGCUAGUAAUCGCGGAUCAGCAUGCCGCGGUGAAUACGUUCCCGGGUCU
rnacentral:rRNA from 1 species